rnacentral:tRNA from 1 species
UUAUUAUUUUGGCAGAUUAGUGCUUUAAAUUUAGAAUUUAAGAAUGUAAAUAUUUUAC